GAAGAGAGAAGAAGAAGACAGAAAGAAGAAGAAGAAGAAGAAGAAGCAUGCUUAACUCACCAGGGUUUUUUGGACUCGUCACUGCAUCACUGACAACAUCCAUUUAUUUCCUACAGACAAGCUAAUAAAGAUGCCUACUCAAAAAGUGUGCCAGACUUGCAAACACAAAAUAGGAGUAGCCAGCAGGCAAUGUGGUGCCAACCAACCCUACAAGGAGAAACUAUCCAAGCAAAAGGAAAAGGUUGCACAGGAGUGGAAGGCCACGCAACAAAAAAACCACAGUGUCAACAAAGUUUAUGACUCAACAAAUCUACUGCUCCACAAAUGGAAACUUCUUGAGCGGCAUCCCAUCCUCCUUCUUGCCAAGAGAGGCACAAAUGGUUUUGCGGUCGAUUGCCUCUGUCCAUGGCAAAUUGAGACAGAAGAUGGUAACAAUGCACUUGUUACCAUGAAGAUGAUUUACGAAAGCCUUCUUAAUGUGACUUUGGCAGUUGAACCACAGGCAUAAAUGGCCACAGACCCAGGAUCAGAUUCCUUGUCUGUACCUCUCUCCUCCGGCCUGACUCCUGCUCUCUCCUCCGGCCUGACUCCUCCUCUCUCCUCCGGCCUGACUCCUGCUCUCUCCUCCAGCCUGACUCAAUUAGAAUACGCCACCUUUUGUUUUGUUUAAGACUUUGCAGUAUCAAAAGUCUCAGUGCCAUUUUGAAUAGUUUAAUUGAGCACAAUGUGAUGUUAGGCAAUGUUUAGGGGGUUAUUGCUGAACUUCAACCUAUUACCAUCUUUUAAUUCCUUGCAGAAUGUCCCAUUCAUCAAGGGUCAGCCACUUUCCCCUACAAAAAACUACUGAGGGAAAGAAUCAGGGAGGUUUGUUUAGAAAAUAUUUUAAAAUAAGAAAUAAACUGACAAUAAUGCUUCCGUGGAACCAAGUCUUAUCUUAUCUUAUUGGAUUUUCGUAUACUUUGUUUAAAAGGAGUGUUUCAGUCUUAAGCAUGACUGCUAAUCUAAAUAUUGAAAUUACAGUAACAAUAAAUUAUUAUUAAUUUAAGGUUGAGGUACUUGUGUAAUGCUUCAUGUCGCAUUAAUGCAUCAUGUCCAGCCAUUUAUUUGUAUAUUACAUGUUUUCUUGUAAUCAUUUGUAGGUGAAUUCUUGGCAGUGAAAAUAUCUUUUUAAAUAAUAAUAGUAUUCCAAAAUAUUAAACUGAUGGGGAAAAUGCUAUUGACUAUGUUACAGUCCUUCAUAUGUUUGAGUUAAUCGUACCUACUAUUAUUUCAAAUUAUCAUUUGAUUUCUCUGGACUUUUCGUAUUUACAUAUAUGACAUUUGAAAAAAAAAAAAGUUUACCUAAAAUCUGUCUUUCUUUACUCAGGGCCAUGCCGAGGUGUUGGUGCAGUGGCAGUCUUGCUCUGGAUGUGGGGCGAAGUGGAAACAUUCCUGGGAGCCAAAGGAAAACUUUCCUAAUUAAAUAUGCCUGACUUUUGUUUUUCUACAUUGGAGUAAUAAAAUACAUAUUUAAAAAAACA